rnacentral:rRNA from 1 species
AGAGUUUGAUCAUGGCUCAGGACGAACGCUGGCGGCGUGCCUAAUACAUGCAAGUCGAGCGGACCGAAAGGAGAGCUCGCUCUCCUUUCAGUCAGCGGCGGACGGGUGAGUAACACGUGGGUAACCUGCCUGUAAGACCGGGAUAACUCGCGGAAACGCGAGCUAAUACCGGAUAGGUCCCGUGGCCGCAUGGCGACGGGAGGAAAGAUGGCGCGAGCUAUCGCUUACAGAUGGGCCCGCGGCGCAUUAGCUAGUUGGUGGGGUAACGGCCCACCAAGGCGACGAUGCGUAGCCGACCUGAGAGGGUGAUCGGCCACAUUGGGACUGAGACACGGCCCAAACUCCUACGGGAGGCAGCAGUAGGGAAUCUUCCGCAAUGGGCGAAAGCCUGACGGAGCAACGCCGCGUGAGCGAAGAAGGCCUUCGGGUCGUAAAGCUCUGUUGUCAGGGAAGAACAAGUACCGGAGUAACUGCCGGUACCUUGACGGUACCUGACCAGAAAGCCCCGGCUAACUACGUGCCAGCAGCCGCGGUAAUACGUAGGGGGCGAGCGUUGUCCGGAAUCAUUGGGCGUAAAGCGCGCGCAGGCGGUCCCUUAAGUCUGAUGUGAAAUCUUGCGGCUCAACCGCAAGAGGUCAUUGGAAACUGGGGGACUUGAGUGCAGGAGAGGGAAGCGGAAUUCCAUGUGUAGCGGUGAAAUGCGUAGAGAUAUGGAGGAACACCAGUGGCGAAGGCGGCUUCCUGGCCUGUAACUGACGCUCACGCGCGAAAGCGUGGGGAGCAAACAG